rnacentral:rRNA from 1 species
GAAUAUUGGGCAAUGGACGAAAGUCUGACCCAGCCAUGCCGCGUGCAGGAUGAAUGUCCUAUGGAUUGUAAACUGCUUUUAUAUGGGAAGAAACCCCCCGAUGCGUUGGGGGCUGACGGUACCGUAUGAAUAAGGAUCGGCUAACUUCGUGCCAGCCGCCGCGGUAAGACGAAGGAUUCAAGCGUUGUCCGGAUUUACUGGGUUUAAAGGGUGCGUAGGGGGAACUCUAAGUCAGUGGUGAAAUCUCCCGGCUUAACCGGGAAACUGCCAUUGAAACUGGUUUUCUUGAAUACAGUGGAGGUAGAUGGAAUAUAACAUGUAGCGGUGAAGUGCUUAGAUAUGUUAUAGAACACCGAUUGCGAAGGCAGUCUGCUACACUGUGAUUGACGCUGAGGCACGAAAGCGUGGGGAGCGAACAGG